GGACCGCUGGCGCAACGGUAGCGCGUUCGACUCCAGAUCGAAAGGUGUAUGUAGCCAACAAAAAGACGAGCAUUUCGACUUAUAUCUAACGUGUUCAAUAAAUAGUAUCCGUUCAAAUCGGGUGUGGUUCA